rnacentral:sRNA from 1 species
GCUGGGAGCGGUGGCUCAUGCCUGUGAUCCCAGCGGCUUGGGAGGCAGAGGCAGGAGGAUCUCAAGUUUAAAGCCAACCUCAGCAACACAGCAAGGUGCUAAGCAACUCAGUGAGACCCUGUCUCUA